rnacentral:rRNA from 1 species
GGCCUGAGAGGGUGAUCGGCCACACCGGAACUGAGACACGGUCCGGACUCCUACGGGAGGCAGCAGUGGGGAAUUUUGCGCAAUGGGCGAAAGCCUGACGCAGCAACGCCGCGUGGAGGAUGAAGGUGCUUUGCAUUGUAAACUCCUGUCGGCCGGGAAGAAUUGGCGGGGUGCUAAUCAGCUCCGUCUUGACUGUACCGGCAAAGGAAGCCCCGGCUAACUCCGUGCCAGCAGCCGCGGUAAUACAGAGGGGGCAAGCGUUACUCGGAAUUAUUGGGCGUAAAGGGCGCGUAGGCGGUCUUGUGCGUCGGAGGUGAAAUCCCCGGGCUUAACCCGGGAGCUGCCUCCGAUACGGCAGGACUUGAGUCCGGGAGAGGGGAGCAGAAUUCCCAGUGUAGCGGUGAAAUGCGUAGAUAUUGGGAGGAAUACCGGUGGCGAAGGCGGCUCCCUGGACCGGUACUGACGCUGAGGCGCGAAAGCGUGGGUAGCAAACAGGAUUAGAUACCCUGGUAGUCCACGCCGUAAACGAUGGGUGCUUGGUGUCGGGGGUAUCGACCCCUCCGGUGCCGAAGCU